UACGUAGGGGGCAAGCGUUGUCCGGAUUUAUUGGGCGUAAAGAGCGUGUAGGCGGCUUUACAGGUCCGUUGUGAAAACUCGAGGCUCAACCUCGAGACGCCGGUGGAAACCGUAAAGCUAGAGUCCGGAAGAGGAGAGUGGAAUUCCUGGUGUAGCGGUGAAAUGCGCAGAUAUCAGGAGGAACACCGGUGGCGAAGGCGGUUCUCUGGGAAUAUCCUGACGCUGAGGAGCGAAAGUGUGGGGAGCGAACAGG
rnacentral:rRNA from 1 species